GAGUUUGAUCGUGGCUCAGGACGAACGCUGGCGGCGUGCCUAAUACAUGCAAGUCGAGCGAAUCAUCGGGAGCUUGCUCCCGGUGAUUAGCGGCGGACGGGUGAGUAACACGUGGGCAACCUGCCUGUAAGACUGGGAUAACUUCGGGAAACCGGAGCUAAUACCGGAUCAAGCUUUUCCUCGCAUGAGGAAAAGCUAAAAGACGGUUUCGGCUGUCACUUACAGAUGGGCCCGCGGCGCAUUAGCUAGUUGGUGAGGUAACGGCUCACCAAGGCGACGAUGCGUAGCCGACCUGAGAGGGUGAUCGGCCACACUGGGACUGAGACACGGCCCAGACUCCUACGGGAGGCAGCAGUAGGGAAUCUUCCGCAGUGGACGAAAGUCUGACGGAGCAACGCCGCGUGAGUGAUGAAGGCCUUCGGUCGUAAACUACUGUGUUAGGAGAACAAGUAUCGAAGUAACU
rnacentral:rRNA from 1 species